rnacentral:rRNA from 1 species
CCUGACGCAGCGACGCCGCGUGAAGGAAGAAGUAUUUCGGUAUGUAAACUUCUAUCAGCAAGGAAGAAAAUGACGGUACUUGACUAAGAAGCCCCGGCUAACUACGUGCCAGCAGCCGCGGUAAUACGUAGGGGGCAAGCGUUAUCCGGAUUUACUGGGUGUAAAGGGAGCGUAGGUGGCAUGGCAAGUCAGAUGUGAAAGCCCGGGGCUCAACCCCGGGAUUGCAUUUGAAACUGCCAGGCUAGAGUGCAGGAGAGGUAAGUGGAAUUCCUAGUGUAGCGGUGAAAUGCGUAGAUAUUAGGAGGAACACCAGUGGCGAAGGCGGCUUACUGGACUGUAACUGACACUGAGGCUCGAAAGCGUGGGGAGCAAACAGGAUUAGAUACCCUGGUAGUCCACGCUGUAAACGAUGAAUACUAGGUGUCGGGGUCGUCAAGACCUCGGUGCCGCAGCUAACGCAAUAAGUAUUCCACCUGGGGAGUACGUUCGCAAGAAUGAAACUUAAAGGAAUUGACGG